rnacentral:rRNA from 1 species
AGUCGAACGGUGAAGCCCAGCUUGCUGGGUGGAUCAGUGGCGAACGGGUGAGUAACACGUGAGCAAUCUGCCCCUGACUCUGGGAUAAGCGCUGGAAACGGCGUCUAAUACUGGAUACGAGCCGUGAAGGCAUCUUCAACGGUUGGAAAGAUUUUUCGGUCAGGGAUGAGCUCGCGGCCUAUCAGCUUGUUGGUGAGGUAAUGGCUCACCAAGGCGUCGACGGGUAGCCGGCCUGAGAGGGUGACCGGCCACACUGGGACUGAGACACGGCCCAGACUCCUACGGGAGGCAGCAGUGGGGAAUAUUGCACAAUGGGCGCAAGCCUGAUGCAGCAACGCCGCGUGAGGGAUGACGGCCUUCGGGUUGUAAACCUCUUUUAGCAGGGAAGAAGCGAAAGUGACGGUACCUGCAGAAAAAGCGCCGGCUAACUACGUGCCAGCAGCCGCGGUAAUACGUAGGGCGCAAGCGUUAUCCGGAAUUAUUGGGCGUAAAGAGCUCGUAGGCGGUUUGUCGCGUCUGCUGUGAAAUCCCGAGGCUCAACCUCGGGUCUGCAGUGGGUACGGGCAGACUAGAGUGCGGUAGGGGAGAUUGGAAUUCCUGGUGUAGCGGUGGAAUGCGCAGAUAUCAGGAGGAACACCGAUGGCGAAGGCAGAUCUCUGGGCCGUAACUGACGCUGAGGAGCGAAAGGGUGGGGAGCAAACAGGCUUAGAUACCCUGGUAGUCCACCCCGUAAACGUUGGGAACUAGUUGUGGGGUCCAUUCCACGGAUUCCGUGACGCAGCUAACGCAUUAAGUUCCCCGCCUGGGGAGUACGGCCGCAAGGCUAAAACUCAAAGGAAUUGACGGGGACCCGCACAAGCGGCGGAGCAUGCGGAUUAAUUCGAUGCAACGCGAAGAACCUUACCAAGGCUUGACAUACACGAGAACGCUGCAGAAAUGUAGAACUCUUUGGACACUCGUGAACAGGUGGUGCAUGGUUGUCGUCAGCUCGUGUCGUGAGAUGUUGGGUUAAGUCCCGCAACGAGCGCAACCCUCGUUCUAUGUUGCCAGCACGUAAUGGUGGGAACUCAUGGGAUACUGCCGGGGUCAACUCGGAGGAAGGUGGGGAUGACGUCAAAUCAUCAUGCCCCUUAUGUCUUGGGCUUCACGCAUGCUACAAUGGCCGGUACAAAGGGCUGCGAUACCGUAAGGUGGAGCGAAUCCCAAAAAGCCGGUCCCAGUUCGGAUUGAGGUCUGCAACUCGACCUCAUGAAGUCGGAGUCGCUAGUAAUCGCAGAUCAGCAACGCUGCGGUGAAUACGUUCCCGGGUCUUGUACACACCGCCCGUCAAGUCAUGAAAGUCGGUAACACCUGAAGCCGGUGGCCCAACCCUUGUGGAGGAGCCGUCGAA